CCUGUCUGGCACACAGUCCUCGGUCCACACAUGCCCAUCGAACUCCUUACGCCUUCAAUAGGGAUGCGUCACUCUCUCCAGGUUACUUCUGGUAGAAAUAACAGCUAGACUUCUGACAAACACACACAGUCCUUCGUCCACACAUCUCCUUCCGACUUCACCAUGGAUGCAUCCCUCUUAGGUCUGAUGGAAAUAACAGGUACCUGUCUGGCACAGUCCUGUCCACACAGCUCGCCUAACUCCUUCCGCCUUCAAUAGGGAUGAGUCACUCUCCAGGUUACUUGGGUCUGGUGGAAAUAACAGGUACCUGUCUGGCACAGUCCUGUCCACACAGCUCGCCUAACUCCUUCCGCCUUCAAUAGGGAUGAGUCACUCCCCAGGUUACCUGGGUCUGGUGGAAAUAACAGGUAUUUGUUUUGCAAUUACUACCGUUUCAUAAAACUUGUUAAGAUUUAAAGGGGUUCAGUUCUUACCAGUAACGAGCAGAUUGUCAUUUUAAAAAAAAAAAAAAAAAAAAAAAAAAAAAAAAAAAAGCCUUGCCUUCAGCCCCACUGUUCCUUUCCAGCCUCUCCCUCAGUUCCUGCAGCUGUUGCUCUUGGUCCGCAACAAGCGUUUUAAGCGAGGCCAGCUCUGCCUUCAAGGCAGCCACAUCUCCGUCCAUUGCUUUCUCUGCUGCUUCCUGGAGAACCCUGGUGUCCUGCUGUAGCUUGGAGAGCUCCUCGACGGCAAAGGUACCUGUCUGGCACAGUCCUGUCCACACAGCUCGCCUAACUCCUUCCGCCUUCAAUAGGGAUGAGUCACUCUCCAGGUUACCUGGGUCUGGUGGAAAUAACAGGUAGCUGUCUGGCACACAGAGCUGUCCACACAGCCAGUCUAACUCCUUCCGCCUUCAAUAGGGAUGCGUCACUCUCCAGGUUACUUGGGUCUGGUGGAAAGAACAGGUAGCUGUCUGGCACAAAGUCCGCUGUCCACACUCCCCGUGUAACUCCAUCCGCCUUCAAAUCUUCUAAGUGACUGUCCAGGUUACUUGGGUCUGUUGGAAAUAACAGAUGAUCCAUCAUGAAGUUGAAAAACGCCUGUUGUCUCGGCGUCAUUAUGUCAUCAGGAUCGGGGUUCUCGGGCCAAAACUCCGUCAAGUGGACGUCAAGCUCUUCCUCUUCUCUUUUCCUUUUCUG